GACGAACCGUGCGAACGUUGUUCGGAAUCACUGGGCUUAAAGGGCUCGUAGGCGGCCAACUAAGUCAGACGUGAAAUCCCUCGGCUUAACCGGGGAACUGCGUCUGAUACUGGAUGGCUUGAGUUUGGGAGAGGGAUGCGGAAUUCCAGGUGUAGCGGUGAAAUGCGUAGAUAUCUGGAGGAACACCGGUGGCGAAGGCGGCAUCCUGGACCAACACUGACGCUGAGGAGCGAAAGCCAGGGGAGCAAACGGG
rnacentral:rRNA from 1 species